rnacentral:rRNA from 1 species
GUCGAGAAUCUUUCACAAUGGGGGCAACCCUGAUGGAGCGACGCCGCGUGGAGGAUAAGGUCUUCGGAUUGUAAACUCCUGUCAUGCGUGAACAAGGUUGCUUGGUUAAUACCUGGGCAAAUUGAUGGUAACGCAAGUGGAAGAGACGGCUAACUCUGUGCCAGCAGCCGCGGUAAUACAGAGGUCUCAAGCGUUGUUCGGAAUCACUGGGCGUAAAGGGUGCGUAGGUGGCGUGGUAAGUCAGAUGUGAAAGCCCGGGGCUCAACCUCGGAACUGCAUCCGAUACUGCCAUGCUAGAGUACUGGUGAGGUGACUAGAAUUCUCGGUGUAGCAGUGAAAUGCGUAGAUAUCGAGAGGAAUACCAAAGGCGUAGGUAGGUCACUGGACAGUUACUGACACUGAGGCACGAAGGCCAGGGGAGCGAACGGGAUUAGAAACCCCAGUAGUCC